rnacentral:tRNA from 1 species
UCCCGUGUGGCUCACUUGGUGGAGUGUGGCACUUGCAAUGCCAGUGUUGUGUGUUUGAUUCCCACGGGGG